GGUAGCGUGGCUCGAGCGGUCUAAGGCGCUGGUUUAAGGCACCAGCCCUCUUCGGAGGCGUGGGUUCGAACCCCACCGCUGCCA
rnacentral:tRNA from 1 species